GCUUAUAAAACAGACGUAAAUCUCCUUCCAAAAAGAUCAAGUCCUGUUAAAGAUACAUAAACAAUCGAAAAAGCUCUCCAAAUCCCAACGUGUGAAGAGAAAGAUUGUCGUCUUAUUCUAGUGGAGAAAUUGUAUUUGUAGCUGAAUUAGGAAAACCUUGAAGAUGAAUGGGCAGAAAAGGAAGAAAUACGAUAGCGAGGAAGAGGAAUUAGUCGAAACAUGGAAAAAAUUGAAGACUGUGGUUGAUGAUAUGCCCGGAAUUCCGAUUGCUCCGCUGGAUACUGGGAAUAACAAGCAGGGCGUCAUCUUUGUCCUCGAAAUGGAGUUGGGCAAAGUUGGCAAGGUUUGUUUCCAAUUCAAAAUUGUAAUCGUCUAAUUGAUUUUUGUUUACAGACUUAUCAGCUAUUGAGAUCAGACGAGCAUGAGGAACAAAAACCGGAACCCCGCUGAUUAUCGCCCUGAUAUUGCUUUUCAGGCAAUCCAAACAAUUUUAGAUAGUCGUGUGAACAAAACUGGGAGGCUUAAAGCACUAUAUGUAAGCACACAGCAAGGUGAUCUUAUAGAGAUCAAACCUCAUGUGCGUAUGCCAAGAACAUACAAGAGCUUCGCGGCACCACAUUAAUGCAGCCGCAGCGGUGAAAGGCUUUUACAAAAUAUCAAGAACCCUGUGACCAAGUACUUACCCUCCAACUGUCGUAAAAUAGGCUUAUCACAUAGUUCGGAAAAAUUGGUGGAUAUGCACAGCUGCAUUGCUAAUAUCAACGAAGAGAUGGAUAUAGUUUUUGUGUUAGGAGCAAUGGCCUAUGGGAGAAUUGAUAAAGAUUAUGUUGAAGAUUAUGUUUCAAUCUCCGAAUGCAAUUUGAGUGCUGUGUACGCCAUUUCGAUGAUUACAAAUGCCGCAGAAAGGAAGUUCAAGAUCUUGUAAGGUCGUAGUGAAAGCCCGGCUGUAGCUUGGUUUCAUAUACAUCUCUUUGUUUGGUUAUGACUUAUGAGUUUUAGGUCUGUGGUUAAUCUUUAAUUGAAAUUUUGCACAUUUGUUUGUUA